rnacentral:misc_RNA from 1 species
UUGUUUCAACUCACUCUCGCUUCUCUCUCCUCUCAGUAAGAGAUAGAGUUAAGAUUCUGACCAGUAGAAAAAAGUAAGACUUUAUGCAGAGCAGAGAGAGGGUCACUAACCUCACAAGAAAAAAAAAUGAUCUGCUGCACUGCCCCACCACCAUCCACCAUACACCCCACCCAACACACAACAAUAGUAGGACAACGAGGCCGCAACAACAACAACAGCAACAACAACUACAGAGAUUCCGCAGCAGAACAGGCAGCAGAGCUCCACCACCAGCGAACAGCGCAGCGAGACCAAGUCGAAGGAUGGCGUCACCACAACAAC